rfam:Burkholderia cenocepacia J2315 chromosome 2, complete genome
AUGAGGGCGACCGAAUGUGGAGAGGAAGCGUGGAGCGUAAAUCGUGAGCCGAUGGACAAGAACUGCAUAGAAGGCGCUGCCGUGCAGGGCGAGCGGGCAACGCACCGCGAAGCUCUCGUGACCAAGGCGAAGCAGCGUAAAUGCGGCGGUUGUGCGAUGAAGGAGUGCGCUC